rnacentral:rRNA from 1 species
CCUAACACAUGCAAGUCGAACGGUAACAGGAAACAGCUUGCUGUUUCGCUGACGAGUGGCGGACGGGUGAGUAAUGUCUGGGAAACUGCCUGAUGGAGGGGGAUAACUACUGGGAACGGUAGCUAAUACCGCAUAACAUCGCAAGACCAAAGAGGGGGACCCUCGGGCCUCUUGCCAUCGGAUGUGCCCAGAUGGGAUUAGCUUGUUGGUGGGGUAACGGCUCACCAAGGCGACGAUCCCUAGCUGGUCUGAGAGGAUGACCAGCCACACUGGAACUGAGACACGGUCCAGACUCCUACGGGAGGCAGCAGUGGGGAAUAUUGCACAAUGGGCGCAAGCCUGAUGCAGCCAUGCCGCGUGUAUGAAGAAGGCCUUCGGGUUGUAAAGUACUUUCAGCGGGGAGGAAGGGAGUAAAGUUAAUACCUUUGCUCAUUGACGUUACCCGCAGAAGAAGCACCGGCUAACUCCGUGCCAGCAGCCGCGGUAAUACGGAGGGUGCAAGCGUUAAUCGGAAUUACUGGGCGU